rnacentral:rRNA from 1 species
GACAGAGGCCUCAAGCGUUAGGCGGAAUCACUGGGCUUAAAGCGUGUGUAGGCGGAUGCCUAAGUACCUUGUGAAAUCCCACGGCUCAACCGUGGGAACUGCUGGGUAUACUGGGCGUCUUGGGCCAUUCAGGGGCGACUGGAACAAGCGGUGGAGCGGUGAAAUGCGUAGAUAUCGCUUGGAACGCCGAAGGUGAAAACAGGUCGCUGGGGAUGUGCCGACGCUGAGACACGAAAGCCAGGGGAGCAAACGGG